CAAAACCAUUAGCAGAAAAAAACAUUUUUCACUCAUUCUAAAAAAGAUCUCAUCCUUGCCUUGCUUCAUAACACGACUUCCUUACCAUGUGCUGCAAGGAGAUGAAACCUAGCAGACCAACAAAAGGUCAACUGAUGCAAAAACAGGUUUGCUUGGCAUUUGUCAAGAUGGCAAGUGCUGUUUAAAAGUCACAAUAGCAAUUUCUAACAGCAGAAUUGAAAGAGAAAAACUGUCAAAAUUCAUGACCACAACAAGCAACAUAGCACUGCAGCAGAUUUUUUUUGAUUCACCUCACCUUGCUUGUGUAUUUUCUGCCAAAACCUCAUCCAUUCCAAACCCCUUCACCUACUUCCUCAUUUUUAACCUUGGCCUUGGCAUAUCACUCUUUCUGUCCAAAACAAGUGGACCAAAAAACCUAACUUGCUGGUAUUGCAUUCCCAUUUCUUCCUGUCCAACUCAAAACAUUGCCUUGCCAACCACGACAGUUUGGUUCACCUCUAUUUUGCAUCACUUCUAAACUUUGCCAACAUAACUAAACCUAACCUGCCUUGCAUUUUCUAAAAGCUGUCCAAGCACAAGU
rnacentral:lncRNA from 1 species